AGCCCAGCAGCUAGCCUAACCAACAAACCUAAAGCCCCGACAUUAAUAAACCCGAAGAAUCGCACAACAAUAUAUUAAAACAUUUUAUUGCUGAAGUAUGGGCGACAGAAACAGAAAAUAGAGCAACAGACAAAGUACCGCAAGGGAAUGCUGAAAUAGAAAUGAAAAAAAUCAGUUAAGCACAGAAAAGCAGAGACUUACUCUCGUACCUUUUGCAUCAUGAUUUAGCGAGCCAUCUUCAAGCAAAAAGCCCUGUAGUUUGAAAACCCGAAACCAAGUGAGCUACUCCAAGACAGUCUAAUUAAUAGGACUACUCCCGUCUCUGUGGCAAAAGAUGUGGGAAGAGCUUUGAGUAGAGGUGAAAAGCCUACCGAACUUGGUGAUAGCUGGUUGCCCGAGAAAUGAAUAGAAGUUCAGCCCUUAAUGCUCUUCAAUCACGCGCAUCGUCGAUAAAAGAGCCGUUAAGGAGUUAGUCAUAGGGGGUCCAGCCCCUAUGACGAAAGAAACAACUUUAUAAGGACGGCUAAGGAUUAACCUAAUAAAGGCACCCGUACACUAGUGGGCUUAAAAGCAGCCAUCUUAACAAAAAGCGUUAAAGCUUGAGUACCCCUAACGCCAAUAAUUUUAUUACCCCCCUCCGAACCCUCCGAGAAUAUCGUGCUACUUUAUGCCACCAUAAAAAUAUUAAUGCUAGAAUGAGUAACAAGAGCCAACGAAGCUCUCCUAACACCUGUGUAAAUCAGAACGGACCCCCCACUGAAAAUUAACGGCCCCAAAAAGAGGGUAAUGGCCUAGAAAAAGAGAACUAGAAAAACCCCCACAGUCCAACCGUUAACCUUACACCAGAGUGCCCCCAAGGAAAGACUAAAAAGAGAGGAAGGAACUCGGCAAGAUAACAAGCCUCGCCUGUUUACCAAAAACAUCGCCUCCUGGACUUACAAAUAUAGGAGGUCCCGCCUGCCCUGUGAUCUAGAAUUUAACGGCCGCGGUAUUUUGACCGUGCAAAGGUAGCGCAAUCACUUGUCUUUUAAAUGAAGACCUGUAUGAAUGGCAUAACGAGGGCUUGACUGUCUCCCCCUCCCAGUCAGUGAAAUUGAUCUUUCCGUGCAGAAGCGGGAAUACACACAUAAGACGAGAAGACCCUGUGGAGCUUUAGACAGCAGACUGCCCUUACACAUAAACUCUUAAUUAACAAGCUAAAGCCAUAAGGACCCCGUUUCAUGUCUUCGGUUGGGGCGACCGCGGGGAAAUAAAAAACCCCCAUGUGGAACAUCAUCACCUGUUUUUGAACGAAGAGCGACAACUCAAAGUACCAGAACAUCUGACCUAAUCUGAUCCGGCUCACUGCCGAUUAACGAAACCAGUUACCCCAGGGAUAACAGCGCAAUCCUCUCCCAGAGUCCAUAUCGACAAGAGGGUUUACGACCUCGAUGUUGGAUCAGGACAUCCUAAUGGUGCAGCCGCUAUUAAGGGUUCGUUUGUUCAACGAUUAAAGUCCUACGUGAUCUGAGUUCAGACCGGAGUAAUCCAGGUCAGUUUCUAUCUAUGCAAUGUCCUUUUCCAGUACGAAAGGACCGAAAAGAAGAGGCCCCUGCCAAAGGCACGCCUCCCCACCCACCUAAUGAAAUCAACUAAAAUAGGCAAGGGGACAUCCUCCUAAGUUGAAGAAAAUAACAU